rnacentral:rRNA from 1 species
CCUACGGGUGGCAGCAGUGGGGAAUAUUGCACAAUGGGGGAAACCCUGAUGCAGCGACGCCGCGUGGGCGAAGAAGUAUUUCGGUAUGUAAAGCCCUAUUAGCAGGGAAGAAGAAAUGACGGUACCUGAGUAAGCAGCACCGGCUAAAUACGGUCCAGCAGCCGCGGUCAUACGUAUGGUGCAAGCGUUAUCCGGAUUUACUGGGUGUAAAGGGAGCGCAGGCGGCACGGGAAGCCUGAUGUGAAAGCCCGCGGCCCAACCGCGGGACUGCAGUGGGAACUACCGGGCUGGAGUGCCGGAGAGGUAGGCGGAAUGCGUGGUGUAGCGGUGAAAUGCGUAGAUAUUAGGAGGAACACCAGUGGCGAAGGCGGCCUACUGGAGGGUGACUGACGCUGAGGCUCGAAAGCGUGGGGAGCGAACAGGAUUAGAUACCCUUGUAGUC